CUGCCAGCCAUGAAUGUUCCUUUAACUAUUAAAAUGCCAACUGAAUUCAUAUGAAAGAUUACUUAUUUAAUAGACACAUGUAUGUGUAGAGGUUUGUUUUUUCCUGCGCAAAUUGUAUUUGAAAUCACUUGGCUAUUUUUGAGUUAUUAGGAUGAGCAAAUGCAUUGUUCCUCUCUUCAAUGCACUUCCUCAGCCCAAUGUUUAAGUGGGAAGCUUUUGAGAAAUCUUUUUUUUUUCCUGUCAUAUAGUGGCAGUGCAUACAGUGGGGUGCGUACUCCUUAUCGGGAUAAGCAGACUGCAAAAUAAAAUAAAUACAUUUAAAUAAUCACUCCUCCUUAUCCUGACAAUAUAAGCCAAAUACCUCUGCAUUUGUCAUUCUGGUUAGGCACACAGAUUGCUGCCAGGGGUAUCCCGUCUGAGAGCUCCCUUGGUAGUGAGCCGACAGAGACUGCUCCAGUGAGUGAAGUGCACAUUUUUAUGCAGAGUGCGAUUUCCGGCAUUCUCUGGAAGCAUUCCUGAGUGGCUCGCCUAUUGCAAAGCAGACUUGGGCAUGCUUCCCACUGCUGUGCACAGACCAAAAAUGCCUUGCGUUUCACCAAAGUUCCAAAUGCACUAUUGCGCUUUUCUGAACUUUAUUUUUUUUGUCAAAAUUUGGAAUUGGUGCGGUUGGAGUGUAAAUGUAAAGAAAAAAGCACCUUUACGUCUCAGGCCUUUUCUCAUUUAGGAUUUAGCCUCCAAUGUUCUGAAUAGAAGAUUUUUCAAAUCUAUUCUUCGUACACGGCCUCCUUGCAAAUCUCCUUUUCUAUCUGUGAUUUGUCUUUGUACUUCAUGCAUUUUGUGAUUCUCAUCUGAACCCUUGGAGGAAGUUUCACUUAAGCAUCUCUCUCAAGACGGUUUCUGGUGGGCAUUACAAUUACAAAAUUGGAGAAAUUCAGGCUCUAUCUUCUUCAGAUGAAUUCACCAUUUUACAUCAGGACAAAAGUUAUCCUUCACCUGAAACCAUCCUUUUUGCCUAAGGUUUUAUCCAAAUGAUCAAUUAAUCAUCUGCCGUCUUUUUGCAGUUCCGCCUCAUCUGGUCAAGAAAAGAAAUAGAUAGCACCUUCUGGAAAUAGAUAGCACCGUAUGAAUUUACCUUGUCCGUUCUGCUGAAUUCAGAUAAUUGGAUCAUCUCUUCAGUAACUUUCAAGAAAACCGGCUUGGAAAGAAAACUUCGAAACC